rnacentral:rRNA from 1 species
CGGACGGGUGAGUAACGCGUGGGUAACUUGCCUUGUACAGGGGGAUAACAGUUGGAGACGGCUGCUAAUACCGCAUAAGCGCACGGCAUCGCAUGAUGCAGUGUGAAAAACUCCGGUGGUAUAAGAUGGACCCGCGUUGGAUUAGCUAGUUGGUGAGGUAACGGCCCACCAAGGCGACGAUCCAUAGCCGACCUGAGAGGGUGACCGGCCACAUUGGGACUGAGACACGGCCCAA